UACGAAGGGGGCUAGCGUUGUUCGGCUUUACUGGGCGUAAAGCGCACGUAGGCGGAUUUUUAAGUCAGGGGUGAAAUCCCAAGGCUCAACCUUGGAACUGCCUUUGAUACUGGAAGUCUCGAGUCCGGGAGAGGUGAGUGGAACUGCGAGUGUAGAGGUGAAAUUCGUAGAUAUUCGCAAGAACACCAGUGGCGAAGGCGGCUCACUGGCCCGGAACUGACGCUGAGGUGCGAAAGCGUGGGGAGCAAACAGG
rnacentral:rRNA from 1 species